AAACAAAUGAAAUAAAAGAAUAGAAAAAGAGAAGAAGAACAGAAAAGAAACAGAGAAAGAGACGAAAACAGGGGAAGGGAAAGAAAAGAAAGGGGGAAAAUUGAGAUUUUGAAGCUUGAAGUUUAAUAGCUAAUAUCGAGCCUGAAGCAUCGGCCCAAAAAGGAAAAGAAAAGAUCGUCGAGGAUUAAAUCCGAAGAGAAUUCCGGUUGAAAAAAGGGUCAGAGUCUCGGUCCAGCAUCCAGGUCAAUCCCGACUCCUGCAUAGAGAUUCGGUGAUGUUUUUUUCCUUAAAUGAAAGUGGCAUGUACAUAAGAAUGAUAAUGGCUAUUUUGGUAUGUUAUAUAAUUUUGUUGUAAAGAAAGGUAUUUGAUGUUUUGAUGAUUAUAUUAGUAAAAUGGUAGAAGUUAUUUAUAACAUUGGUAUUGAGUUGA